CGGGGGCUGUGCGGUGUCCCCGCGCUGAGGCCGCAGCCGGAGAGUGAUUUAGUGAGCGAGAAGCGCGGCCUGCUCCUGAGAGCAGCGCGGGGCGGUGAUCCAGGUGUCUGUUGAGCUCCAAUACCAGCCCUGAGCCUUCAGUGCCUUGGCAGGCAGUCUGCAUGCUGGGGACAGAGUUCCAGUACUGUUUGGUGCUCUUUGGAACAGUGCCACUGGAGAAGCAGAUCCAUUACAACCUGUGGUGUGCAAAGUCUGGCUUUGGAGCUGGGGUAUACAGUGCAGACAAUGUGUCAGUGAUUGGAGUAGUCUUCCUGCAUGUGGCAGCAGGACUCCACAGAUGCUAGACAGUGCUCCUUAGCUACAUCUUCCUUGCUACCUUCCACAGCAGUGGUGGGUCUGAGCUGCUGUGCGGCUUUAUCCUCAAGCAGUACAACAGCAACACCCAGGUGUCAGCAUCCCCAUGAUGUCAGACACCACUGCCCUAACAUAGGCACUGCUGCCAUGGGUUGCAGUUGAUGUCAUCUCAAUGGAGCCCGUGUUCCUGCAUCCAGCCACUCAUGUUGGAGUUCAUGUACUUCUGUGAUCCUCGCUACUUCUCACCUUUGGCCACAUCAUGCUUCAGGCUCUGGAACCUUUCAGCCCCCGAGCUUUCCUGCUCCUUGUCUGAAACUGGAUGGCAGUACAACACUUGAUCACAGAAAGGAGCUAAAAAGCUGAAGCCAGGAGGAACUACAUGAAACCAUCAGCACAAUGAACAGCAUUGCUGUUGGUACAGCAGUGCUAGGAAGGUCCUGAUGGAAAGAAUGAAACAAGGCACGGGACAGCAUUUCUUUCCAGUUUCCCCAUCCCCACAGGUAGGCACCCAAUAGUUACAGUCACUGAUUCAGAGCUGUGUCCAACAAGGUAUACCACUGGAGAGUGGUAUAACACAGGAACAGAUAUUUACAGGUGUGCUCACCUCUCUGAAGAGGGGCCAGUUCACCUUUACAGCUAGAGACUGCCAACUAAUACAGAUCCUCCAAGAAGCCCAUGUACCUAAGAUGACUUCUACUUAGCAAAACACCCCUUAGAGAUACUUAUCCUACUGCUGUGAUCACACCCUUGGUAGGGUCACCUGACUGGUAAACAAACAGCAAACCAGCAUUUCCCAGCCGCUCCCUAAGGACUGACGCCUACCAGGACUGCCUAACGCAGUUUUGAGAAAGACUCCAGAUGAUCUCUCCAGGCAGGGAGAGGUCAGAGGGCCAUCAGGCAGAACAGUAACUGCACACAAAGGUCACUUCAGCUAUGUGCAAGCCUUUAACAGAAGCUUGUCUCCAAAACAGUAAUUCUCUAGAGAUUGUGUAGCUGACCAUUAGCAAAGCUCUCCUUGACUAUAUGGAAGUAUUAAAAUGCAGACAAGAUCCUCAUCCUCUUAAAGGAGGAUGAUUCCUUUAAGUCUGCACGAUGUUUCA